GAUGAACGCUGGCGGCGUGCCUAAUACAUGCAAGUCGAGCGAACAGACGAGGAGCUUGCUCCUCUGACGUUAGCGGCGGACGGGUGAGUAACACGUGGAUAACCUACCUAUAAGACUGGGAUAACUUCGGGAAACCGGAGCUAAUACCGGAUAAUAUAUUGAACCGCAUGGUUCAAUAGUGAAAUACGGUUUUGCUGUCACUUAUAGAUGGAUCCGCGCCGCAUUAGCUAGUUGGUAAGGUAACGGCUUACCAAGGCAACGAUGCGUAGCCGACCUGAGAGGGGGAUCGGCCACACUGGAACUGAGACACGGUCCAGACUCCUAAGGGAGGCAGCAGUAGGGAAUCGUCCGCAAUGGGCGAAAGCCUGACGGAGCAACGCCGCGUGAGUGAUGAAGGUCUUCGGAUCGUAAAACUCUGUUAUUAGGGAAGAACAAAUGUGUAAGUAACUAUGCACGUCUUGACGGUACCUAAUCAGAAAGCCACGGCUAACUACGUG
rnacentral:rRNA from 1 species